AGACCAAGAGGUCUCUCUGCUCACAGGAAAGAGGGAUGAUGGUUUUCUCCUGUGCCUCUCAGGAAACACAUUUUCUCCAGGCAAAUCUGGGCUGCCCUGCCCUAUGCUGGAACACCUGGGGACACAUGGCCAGGCCUUAGAGCAGCCUUCCUGCAGCUGUGCCCAGCCUGCCAAGCUCUGUUGAUUUGCAUGUGCCCACAGCACAGCCCACUGCCCUGAGGACUUCUUAAGAGACUGUUCAAACCCUGUGCAGGAGUCAGUCCCUGUCAGGACACAGCAUGGCCAUGAGAGCUCCUGCUCAGCUCCUGGGGCUUCUGCUGCUCUGCCUCACAGGUGCCAAAUGUGACAUCACGAUGACCCAGUCUCCAACCUCCCUGUCUAAAUCUCAAGGAGAAACCGUCACCAUCAGGUGCCAGGCCAGUCAGGGCAUUAGCAAUUACUUAAGCUGGUACCAGCAGAAACCAGGGCAAGCUCCUAAGCUCCUGAUCUAUUAUACCAACCGUUUGCAAUCUGGGGUCCCCUCGAGGUUCAGUGGCAGUGGAUCUGGGACAGAGUAUUCUCUCACCAUCAGCAGCCUGGAGCCUGAAGAUGUUGCCACUUAUUACUGUCAACAAGGUAACAGUUACCCUCCCACAGUGAUACAGGCCAUGACAAAAACCUCCCAGGGAGCAGAAGUGUGAGGCUGGGCUGCCCCA